CACACAUAGUACACGCUUAACCGGUACAUGUCUGCUUUCCUUUCUUUCACUAAAUAGAGUUUUUCGAAUGGGAAGACAUAUACAGCUCCAAAUAUUGAUGAAGAUGUCCAAAAAAUGCAGAUGUAGAACAUCAAACCAAUCUGCAUUUGAAGGGAAAAUGCUAUAGUUAUAGAAUUUAGGACACAUAGGGAUAAGAAUUUAGGACUAGAUGGACAUUUGGGUUUGUUUGAUGCAACUACUUGCAAGCUGAAAGUUAACAAUCAGAAAGCAGAAGUUAAAAGUAUUUAUUUCCCAACUUUUCAUUUAUCAACUUUUUCAACUUAUUAAAGUUGUUUUUGCCUCAUAAGGUCUAAGAAGAAACUAUACUAAACACUACUUUGACACGCAUUCUCAAAAUUCUAAAAAAAGGAAAAAGAAAAAAGAAAAAAAAAGAAGCUAUAUAAUUAACCCCAUAACCAAACAGGACAAGUACCUGAUCUCUGAGUUUAGCCUCAGUUGCAAUAUUGGAUUUCCACCAAAGGAGGCCUAACAAGACUGCGACGCCAAGCGCUUGAACAAGUCUUAGCUUGUCGAGGGUUCAUUGCUAUAUCCGGGAUGAAUCUCAGAGAUGAGAAGUACUCUAUUGACUCUCUAGCCUUGCCAUAGUACACUGGAUAGCCUUCUGAUAUCAACAAGACCUUGUCGAACAUGUGAAACAUCCUACUUGAAGAAGUCGAUUUGCAGAGGUUGAAUCGAGGCCUGAAGUUGGUUCAUCGAGCAAUAACAAAGAAGGAUCAACAAGAAUUUCAUACCCAAUACUUGUUCUUUUUCUUUCUCCCCCGGAUAUCCCUUUAACAAAUCCUCCUCCUACUCGUGUAUGACGACAUCUAAUUUAGAAGAUAAAUUUAGAAACACAUGCUUAUAUCA